CCGCGGUAAUACGAAGGGUGCAAGCGUUACUCGGAAUUACUGGGCGUAAAGCGUGCGUAGGUGGUUGUUUAAGUCUGUUGUGAAAGCCCUGGGCUCAACCUGGGAAUUGCAGUGGAUACUGGGCGACUAGAGUGUGGUAGAGGGUAGUGGAAUUCCUGGUGUAGCAGUGAAAUGCGUAGAGAUCAGGAGGAACAUCCAUGGCGAAGGCAGCUACCUGGACCAACACUGACACUGAGGCACGAAAGCGUGGGGAGCAAACAGGAUU
rnacentral:rRNA from 1 species